rnacentral:rRNA from 1 species
UGGGGAAUAUUGCACAAUGGGCGCAAGCCUGAUGCAGCCAUACCGCGUGUGUGAAGACGGCCUUCGGGUUGUAAAGCACUUUCAGCAGGGAAGAAAAGUUUGGAGUUAAUAACUCCAGACCUUGACGGUACCUGCAUAAGAAGCACCGGCUAACUCCGUGCCAGCAGCCGCGGUAAUACGGAGGGUGCAAGCGUUAAUCGGAAUUACUGGGCGUAAAGGGCGCGUAGGCGGUCUGGUUAGUCAGAUGUGAAAGCCCCGGGCUUAACCUGGGAACUGCAUUUGAUACUGCCAGACUAGAGUGUGGUAGAGGGAAGUGGAAUUCCGCGUGUAGCGGUGAAAUGCGUAGAUAUGCGGAGGAACAUCAGUGGCGAAGGCGACUUCCUGGACCAACACUGACGCUCAGGUGCGAAAGCGUGGGGAGCAAACAGG